GACGAACGCUGGCGGCGUGCUUAACACAUGCAAGUCGAACGGAAAGGCCCUGCUUUUGUUGGUUGCUCGAGUGGCGAACGGGUGAGUAACACGUGAGUAACCUGCCCUUGACUUUGUGAUAACUUCAGGAAACUGGGGCUAAUACCGGAUAGGAUCUCCUGCUGCAUGGUGGGGGUUGGAAAGUUUCGGCGGUUGGGGAUGGACUCGCGGCUUAUCAGCUUGUUGGUGGGGUAGUGGCUUACCAAGGCUUUGACGGGUAGCCGGCCUGAGAGGGUGACCGGCCACAUUGGGACUGCGAUACGGCCCAGACUCGUACGGGAGGCAGCAGUGGGGAAUAUUGCACAAUGGGCGGAAGCCUGAUGCAGCAACGCCGCGUGCGGGAUGACGGCCUUCGGGUUGUAAACCGCUUUCGCAUGUGACGAAGCGUGAGUGACGGUAAUGGGUAAAGAAGCACCGGCUAACUACGUG
rnacentral:rRNA from 1 species